AGCCAGUGUGGUAUAGCGGUUAGAGUAUCGGACUAGGACCUGGGAGACAAGGGUUCAAAUCCCUGCUUGGCCA